rnacentral:rRNA from 1 species
AUUGAACGCUGGCGGCAGGCCUAACACAUGCAAGUCGAACGAGUGGCGGACGGGUGAGUAAUGUCUGGGAAACUGCCUGAUGGAGGGGGAUAACUACUGGAAACGGUAGCUAAUACCGCAUACCAUCAGAUGUGCCCAGAUGGGAUUAGCUAGUGGGUGGGGUAACGGCUAACCAAGGCGACGAUCCCUAGCUGGUCUGAGAGGAGGACCAGCAACACUGGAACUGGGAAACGGUCCAGACGCCUACGGGAGGCAGCAGUGGGGAAUAUUGCACAAGGGGGGAAAGCCUGAUGCAGCCAUGCGGCGGGUAGGAAGAAGGCCUUCGGGUUGUAAAGUAUGUUCAGCGGGGAGGCGUUACCCGCAGAAGAAGCAACGGCUAACUCCGUGCCAGCAGCCGCGGUAAUAC